rnacentral:rRNA from 1 species
AAAGAUUAAGCCAUGCAUGUCUAAGCACAUGCCUUAAUACGGUGAAGCCGCGAAUAGCUCAUUACAACAGCCACCGUUUACUAGAAUAUAGUUAUCCUACUUGGAUAACUGUGGCAAUUCUAGAGCUAAUACAUGCAAAAAAGCUCUGCCCGCAAGGAACGAGCGCAUUUAUUAGAAUAAAAACCAAUCGGGUUUCGGCCCGUAAUUUGGUGAAUCUGAAUAACUUUGCCAAUCGCACAGUCCUAGUACUGGCGAUGUAUCUUUCAAGUGUCUGCCUUAUCAACUUUCGAUGGUAGGUUAUACGCCUACCAUGGUAGUAACGGGUAACGGAGAAUAAGGGUUCGACUCCGGAGAGGGAGCCUGAGAAACGGCUACCACAUCCAAGGAAGGCAGCAGGCGCGCAAAUUACCCACUUCCAGAACGGAGAGGUAGUGACGAAAAAUAACGAGACAGUCCUCUUCGAGGUCUGUCAUCGGAAUGGGUACAAUUUAAAUCCUUUAACGAGGAUCUAUUGGAGGGCAAGUCUGGUGCCAGCAGCCGCGGUAAUUCCAGCUCCAAUAGCGUAUAUUAAAGUUGUUGCGGUUAAAACGCUCGUAGUUGGAUCUGCGGCCUCGGAGAACGGUCCCCCGAAAGGGUGGUCACUGUCUCUCCUAGCCUAAAUUCGAGUCGUCUCUAGGUGCUCUUUACCGAGUGCCUAGAGUGACUAGAACGUUUACUUUGAAAAAAUUAGAGUGCUUAAAGCAGGCGAAAUAGCCUGAAUAAGGUGCAUGGAAUAAUGGAAUAGGACCUCGGUUCUAUUUUGUUGGUUUUCGGAACCCGAGGUAAUGAUUAAGAGGAACAGACGGGGGCAUUCGUAUUCCGGCGCUAGAGGUGAAAUUCUUGGACCGCCGGAAGACGGACAACUGCGAAAGCAUUUGCCAAGAAUG